UCUGGAAAUUCUCGUGGUGCUCCAUAUGAAAGCCUAGUAGCGACUAUGACCGUAAUCUGCAACAUCGCAGAAUGCACAACUGCAAUGGAAUAGCCUACAAUUAUAGAAAAUCAAGCCGUAGGAUUUAUCAACACAGAUUCACCAAACUAUAUCUGAUUUGUGCAGAUUCGCAGAAUAUUUUACAGAGUCUAAAGAUCUACUCCCUUAAAACCGCGAUAAAUCAACACAAUUUGAACAUAAAAAAUGUAUGUCUCGUCAUACACGAGGAUUGAAGAUAACGAAAUAUAGAAGGCAGCGGUUGAAAGUACAAAUAACCAACUUCUUCCAGUCUCUCGAUCAGAUUGUUGGCAAGCCCCUGAACGAAUGACAAUAUGGGUCGACAGAGGAAGAGCAGGCCAAGCAGAACUUGACAUUCAGCCUGUUCAGACUUGAUCUGAUUUAGGAUGCAGCUUGUAAGUCUUGCAAUUGCGAGUACAACUAUCAAGAUCCGGAUCAUGUAUUAUGGCAAUAUCCCUAACACUUAAAUUACUAUACUCCAUCAGCAAGUUGCUAAAGAGUUCAAGAAUUAAAGAACUGAAGAUCAUUGGCAACUUAAUAAACAAGCCAUCUCUUAAGGAACAACAUAAAGGAACAGAGGUACAAAUGAAAGAAUGAUUAGAAGUUAAGAGACUAAAAUUAUAUACAUAACUUUUGUUUUUUUUUCUCAAAUAUCUCUUCUUUAUUUUUAUAUAGUUUAUAUAUAUAUUUUUUUCUUAUAUUACCGGUUGUAUAUAAGCAUAUUAUAAAAAUGUACAUAUAAUUAUACCUAGAAUAAAAAUUAAUGUUUAAGCAAUGUAACAAUGUGUAAUCUCUAAAUAAAAAUAGCGUAUAGAUGGUAUACAGAUUUCAAAGGCUUAAAAAAAAAUUCUAAGGAAGUAGAAAAGGAAAAACGAAGAAAAUGUUUCACAUAUUUGUAAUAUGUUAGAAAUCUCUUUUUGUUUAACAGUUUUUGUUUACAAUAUGGUAUAACUCUGAAUCUAAAUUAGUGAACCUUCGUCAAUGUUAUAUUGCUAUUUACACGAAUAGAUAGACAAAAUAUGUUAAAUUGUACUAUUUUAGUUUUCGAGUUCUACUUAAUAUUUUAUUCAAUUUUUAAUAUAUCAUUAUCUCAUCAAUCGAACAAACCUAAUUUUGUUACAAAACGGACGAAAUAUUGUAACUAAAUAAAACAUAAAUAUAUAUAUGUAUAGAACUGUCA